AUUGAACGCUAGCGGGAUGCUUUACACAUGCAAGUCGAACGAGUGGCGGACGGGUGAGUAAUAUAUCGGAACGUGCCCAGUAGCGGGGGAUAACUAAUCAAAAGAGUGGCUAAUAGCGCAUACUAUUGGAGCGGCCGAUAUCGGAUUCGCUAGUUGGGGGGGUAAAGGCUCACCAAGGACAAGAUACGUAACUGGUUUGAGAGGGCGACCAGCCACACUGGGACUGAGACACGGACCAGACUCCUACGGUAGGCAGCAGUGGGGAAUUUUGGCCAAGGGGGGAAACCCUGAUCCAGCCAUCCCGCGUGUAUGAGAAGGCCUUCGGGUUGUAAAGUACUUUUGGCAGAGAAGCGGUAUCUGCAGAAUAAGCACCGGCUAACUACGUGCCAGCAGCCGCGGUAAUUC
rnacentral:rRNA from 1 species